rnacentral:rRNA from 1 species
GACGAACGCUGACGGCGUGCCUAAUACAUGCAAGUAGAACGCUGAAGGAGGAGCUUGCUCUUCUGGAUGAGUUGCGAACGGGUGAGUAACGCGUAGGUAACCUGCCUGGUAGCGGGGGAUAACUAUUGGAAACGAUAGCUAAUACCGCAUAACAGUAGAUGUUGCAUGACAUUUGCUUAAAAGGUGCAAUUGCAUCACUACCAGAUGGACCUGCGUUGUAUUAGCUAGUUGGUGGGGUAACGGCUCACCAAGGCGACGAUACAUAGCCGACCUGAGAGGGUGAUCGGCCACACUGGGACUGAGACACGGCCCAGACUCCUACGGGAGGCAGCAGUAGGGAAUCUUCGGCAAUAGACGGAAGUCUGACCGAGCAACGCCGCGUGAGUGAAGAAGGUUUUCGGAUCGUAAAGCUCUGUUGUAAGAGAAGAACGAGUGUGAGAGUGGAAAGUUCACACUGUGACGGUAUCUUACCAGAAAGGGACGGCUAACUACGUG